UACGUAGGGCGCAAGCGUUGUCCGGAAUUAUUGGGCGUAAAGAGCUCGUAGGCGGCUUGUCACGUCGGGUGUGAAAGCCCGGGGCUUAACCCCGGGUCUGCAUUCGAUACGGGCUAGCUAGAGUGUGGUAGGGGAGAUCGAAUUCCUGGUGUAGCGGUGAAAUGCGCAGAUAUCAGGAGGAACACCGGUGGCGAAGGCGGAUCUCUGGGCAUUAACUGACGCUGAGGAGCGAAAGCGUGGGGAGCGAACAGG
rnacentral:rRNA from 1 species